UACGGAGGGGGCUAGCGUUGUUCGGAAUUACUGGGCGUAAAGCGCACGUAGGCGGCUUUGUGAGUUAGAGGUGAAAGCCCGGGGCUCAACCCCGGAGGUGCGGCCGAGACUGCAGGGCUGGAGGCCGGAAGAGGAGAGUGGAAUUCCCAGUGUAGAGGUGAAAUUCGUAGAUAUUGGGAAGAACACCAGUGGCGAAGGCGGCUCUCUGGUCCGAUACUGACGCUGAGGUGCGAAAGCGUGGGGAGCAAACAGG
rnacentral:rRNA from 1 species